UAGGGGAGGCGUGUCUCACACC
rnacentral:piRNA from 1 species